AUGCACGUGCUGGCAUCCAACUCCGCCUCCCGCCUUCGGGCGGCGGUGGCGGAGCGGGUGAUGACCCCGGUGGUCGACGGUGGUCUGGCGGCCGCGGCGGCCGACGAUGGGGUGGCGGCCACGACGACCACCUCCCGCCUUCGGGCCGCGGUGGCGGAGCGGGUGAUGGCCACAGUGGCCGGCAGUGGGGUGGCGGCCACGACGACCACCUCCCGCCUUCGGGCCGCGGCGGCGGAGCGGGCGAUGGCCCUGACUUUUAAUGGUGGUGUGGCGGCAACAGUGGCCGGCAAUAGCUGCCGACGGGCAGCGGCGGCAGAGCGUGUGGUGGGUGUUCCGCGCACACCCAACAGGGACGCCACGCGCACUACACUACGCCGGGGACUGCACCGCCGCCGUGGUGUAGCCUCCCAGCUGGAGCUUUCCUCUAAUGACGGCGGAGUGGUUGAGCGACGACGAUGGACCGGUGCCAUUGGCGAUUGUGGGAGAAGAAGACGAGAUAAGCUACAGUGA
rnacentral:rRNA from 1 species